AAUGCCCCUCGAGGCGUUGCAGCUCGACUGAGUGUCUCGGCUGUGUCAUGAGGAGGCAGAGAGCGACGGUGGAGGUCUGCACUGAGACUCGGGCCGUCGAGGACUCGGAGUGAAUCUCUCCACCGACAUG
rnacentral:snoRNA from 1 species